UGGGGAAUAUUGCACAAUGGGCGCAAGCCUGAUGCAGCCAUGCCGCGUGUAUGAAGAAGGCCUUCGGGUUGUAAAGUACUCUCAGCGGGGAGGAGGGGAGUAAAGUUAAUACCUUUGCUCAUUGACGUUACCCGCAGAAGAAGCACCGGCUAACUCCGUGCCAGCAGCCGCGGUAAUACGGAGGGUGCAAGCGUUAAUCGGAAUUACUGGGCGUAAAGCGCACGCAGGCGGUUUGUUAAGUCAGAUGUGAAAUCCCCGGGCUCAACCUGGGAACUGCAUCUGAUACAGGCAAGCUUGAGUCUCGUAGAGGGGGGUAGAAUUCCAGGUGUAGCGGUGAAAUGCGUAGGGAUCUGGAGGAAUACCGGUGGCGAAGGCGGCCCCCUGGACGAAGACUGACGCUCAGGUGCGAAAGCGUGGGGAGCAAACAGG
rnacentral:rRNA from 1 species